GGCCUCAGAGCGCCGCCCGCUCGUCUGGGCCGAGCGAUCUGGCGGCCAGGAAAGGCCCGGAUCGGCCUCGGGAGCUAACAAAAACAGGGCUUCUUUCCCGGGAGAUCCUCGGGCUGGCCCAUCUUCCUCUCUUGAAGGUUAUGGUAUAAGCAGAGGCCGUGCGUGUGUCUACUCGAAAUAAAUCCCCCUAAUUUGAAAUGGGUCUUACUCCCGAAGUAGGCAUGAAUAACUGCAGGGAGAGCCUACAAACCGCUUGGUUCAGGAGGCAUCCUGGCAACAGGAACACAGAGCCUUCUCUGGGCACAUGUUCCAUAAGUCACCAUUGAGAAAUAUUUACCCAUCCUCUGAUCCCGGAUUUCUGCACUCCCCUCUGUUGGUGCAGUGUUCCAGUUGCAGGACCAGGGCCAACAUCCUAUUAAAUGUGGAGUGGAAGUGCAACUAUGUAAGUGCCCCCCUGGUCACUGAUCUCUGAAGCACUGCAAGAACAGGCACACAUAGGGGAAACUGAAGGAGGAGGAGAACAUGUGUUCAAUUGUCUUUCCAAUUUGGUUUCAGAAAAUAGGAUACUGGCAAGUAUAUUUUAACUACCUCAUCCAAGAACAGUGAAUACGUGCAAAAGUUAACAUGUAUUAUUUACUAUUUGCAUCUAGGGGGAGUAACCUUGUUCAGUUUGUAGGCUGAAUUAAAUUUCAAAGAAGUUUUCAGGGGCCAAAUUCCAGUGGUAGGUGGGGCUAAAAGAACCGUGUGGAGAAUGGGGAAUUCAGAUUUAAAAUUUAAGCUUCAAGUUCUUUUUAUUAGUAAUUAACAAUAACUACAUAAUAUCUGAUCAAUUCUGACAUAUAGUGACCCUUUCUAGGGUUUUCUAGGGAGAGAGUACUCAGAAGAGGUUUACCAUUCCCUUC